rnacentral:snoRNA from 1 species
GGUCUGUGAUGAAUAGCAGAAGGUCUCAUUGUCUUGAGCCUUGCACUUCCAUUACCUUUUCUCCCAGCAGUUUGUCACCAGUCAUGCCACAAUACUGGUGUGACUGGCAGUGUUUGCUGACAGCUCAUGGUAUGCUUAGUUCUUGUUAACCUAAAGUAUUGGAGAUAGGAUUGUGAUCAGCAUCCACCAGACCUACUUGAAGGAAUUUAGGGUCUUGGAUUGCUAACUCUGGACGUAGGAUCUGUCUUUUCUGCCAGGGCU